AAACCAUGAUAUGGAAACUUGCAUAACAUUAGCUUAAAGUGCUCCCAUGCAUCAUAUAAUGACUCUCCUUCUAAUUGUCAAAAAUUCGUAAUAUCCAUACAAAGUUU